UACGUAGGGGGCAAGCGUUGUCCGGAAUCAUUGGGCGUAAAGCGCGUGUAGGCGGCCCGGUAAGUCCGCUGUGAAAGUCCAGGGCUCAACCCUGGAAUGCCGGUGGAUACUGUCGGGCUCGAGUCCGGAAGAGGCGAGUGGAAUUCCUGGUGUAGCGGUGAAAUGCGCAGAUAUCAGGAGGAACACCAAUGGCGAAGGCAGCUCGCUGGGCACCACCUGACGCUGAGGCGCGAAAGCGUGGGGAGCGAACCGG
rnacentral:rRNA from 1 species